rnacentral:rRNA from 1 species
GGUUAAGCGACUAAGCGUACACGGUGGAUGCCCUGGCAGUCAGAGGCGAUGAAGGGCGUGCUAAUCUGCGAUAAGCGCCGGUAAGGUGAUAUGAACCGUUAUAACCGGCGAUACCCGAAUGGGGAAACCCAGUGUGACUCGUCACACUAUCAUUAACUGAAUCCAUAGGUUAAUGAGGCGAACCGGGGGAACUGAAACAUCUAAGUACCCCGAGGAAAAGAAAUCAACCGAGAUUCCCCCAGUAGCGGCGAGCGAACGGGGAGGAGCCCAGAGCCUGAAUCAGCAUGUGUGUUAGUGGAAGCGUCUGGAAAGGCGCGCGAUACAGGGUGACAGCCCCGUACACAAAAGCGCAUGUGCUGUGAGCUCGAUGAGUAGGGCGGGACACGUGGUAUCCUGUCUGAAUAUGGGGGGACCAUCCUCCAAGGCUAAAUACUCCUGACUGACCGAUAGUGAACCAGUACCGUGAGGGAAAGGCGAAAAGAACCCCGGCGAGGGGAGUGAAAAAGAACCUGAAACCGUGUACGUACAAGCAGUGGGAGCCCCACCACCAAAGCAUUCUCUGGUGUUGAAGGCCCUGCAAAGCAGCAUCGCGGUGGCGGAGCGUCGUUUGCGACGCCCAACACACAAAACAAGCGGUGAGUGCUUUGGGGUGGGGUGACUGCGUACCUUUUGUAUAAUGGGUCAGCGACUUAUAUUCUGUAGCAAGGUUAACCGAAUAGGGGAGCCGGAGGGAAACCGAGUCUUAACCGGGCGUUAAGUUGCAGGGUAUAGACCCGAAACCCGGUGAUCUAGCCAUGGGCAGGUUGAAGGUUGGGUAACACUAACUGGAGGACCGAACCGACUAAUGUUGAAAAAUUAGCGGAUGACCUGUGGCUGGGGGUGAAAGGCCAAUCAAACCGGGAGAUAGCUGGUUCUCCCCGAAAGCUAUUUAGGUAGCGCCUCGUGAAUUCAUCUCCGGGGGUAGAGCACUGUUUCGGCUAGGGGGCCAUCCCGGCUUACCAACCCGAUGCAAACUGCGAAUACCGGAGAAUGUUAUCACGGGAGACACACGGCGGGUGCUAACGUCCGUCGUGAAGAGGGAAACAACCCAGACCGCCAGCUAAGGUCCCAAAGUCAUGGUUAAGUGGGAAACGAUGUGGGAAGGCCCAGACAGCCAGGAUGUUGGCUUAGAAGCAGCCAUCAUUUAAAGAAAGCGUAAUAGCUCACUGGUCGAGUCGGCCUGCGCGGAAGAUGUAACGGGGCUAAACCAUGCACCGAAGCUGCGGCAGCGACACUCAGGUGUUGUUGGGUAGGGGAGCGUUCUGUAAGCCUGCGAAGGUGGCCUGUGAGGGUUGCUGGAGGUAUCAGAAGUGCGAAUGCUGACAUAAGUAACGAUAAAGCGGGUGAAAAGCCCGCUCGCCGGAAGACCAAGGGUUCCUGUCCAACGUUAAUCGGGGCAGGGUGAGUCGACCCCUAAGGCGAGGCCGAAAGGCGUAGUCGAUGGGAAACGGGUUAAUAUUCCCGUACUUGGUGUUACUGCGAAGGGGGGACGGAGAAGGCUAUGUUGGCCGGGCGACGGUUGUCCCGGUUUAAGCGUGUAGGUGUGUGUUCCAGGUAAAUCCGGUUCACUUUAACACUGAGGCGUGACGACGAGGCACUACGGUGCUGAAGCAACAAAUGCCCUGCUUCCAGGAAAAGCCUCUAAGCAUCAGGUAACAUCAAAUCGUACCCCAAACCGACACAGGUGGUCAGGUAGAGAAUACCAAGGCGCUUGAGAGAACUCGGGUGAAGGAACUAGGCAAAAUGGUGCCGUAACUUCGGGAGAAGGCACGCUGACACGUAGGUGAAGUGAUUUACUCAUGGAGCUGAAGUCAGUCGAAGAUACCAGCUGGCUGCAACUGUUUAUUAAAAACACAGCACUGUGCAAACACGAAAGUGGACGUAUACGGUGUGACGCCUGCCCGGUGCCGGAAGGUUAAUUGAUGGGGUCAGCGCAAGCGAAGCUCCUGAUCGAAGCCCCGGUAAACGGCGGCCGUAACUAUAACGGUCCUAAGGUAGCGAAAUUCCUUGUCGGGUAAGUUCCGACCUGCACGAAUGGCGUAAUGAUGGCCAGGCUGUCUCCACCCGAGACUCAGUGAAAUUGAACUCGCUGUGAAGAUGCAGUGUACCCGCGGCAAGACGGAAAGACCCCGUGAACCUUUACUAUAGCUUGACACUGAACAUUGAGCCUUGAUGUGUAGGAUAGGUGGGAGGCUUUGAAGUGUGGACGCCAGUCUGCAUGGAGCCGACCUUGAAAUACCACCCUUUAAUGUUUGAUGUUCUAACGUGGACCCGUGAUCCGGGUUGCGGACAGUGUCUGGUGGGUAGUUUGACUGGGGCGGUCUCCUCCUAAAGAGUAACGGAGGAGCACGAAGGUUGGCUAAUCCUGGUCGGACAUCAGGAGGUUAGUGCAAUGGCAUAAGCCAGCUUGACUGCGAGCGUGACGGCGCGAGCAGGUGCGAAAGCAGGUCAUAGUGAUCCGGUGGUUCUGAAUGGAAGGGCCAUCGCUCAACGGAUAAAAGGUACUCCGGGGAUAACAGGCUGAUACCGCCCAAGAGUUCAUAUCGACGGCGGUGUUUGGCACCUCGAUGUCGGCUCAUCACAUCCUGGGGCUGAAGUAGGUCCCAAGGGUAUGGCUGUUCGCCAUUUAAAGUGGUACGCGAGCUGGGUUUAGAACGUCGUGAGACAGUUCGGUCCCUAUCUGCCGUGGGCGCUGGAGAACUGAGGGGGGCUGCUCCUAGUACGAGAGGACCGGAGUGGACGCAUCACUGGUGUUCGGGUUGUCAUGCCAAUGGCACUGCCCGGUAGCUAAAUGCGGAAGAGAUAAGUGCUGAAAGCAUCUAAGCACGAAACUUGCCCCGAGAUGAGUUCUCCCUGAGACUUAGAGUCUCCUGAAGGAACGUUGAAGACGACGACGUUGAUAGGCCGGGUGUGUAAGCGCAGCGAUGCGUUGAGCUAACCGGUACUAAUGAACCGUGAGGCUUAACCUU